GCGUCCGUAACUCAACUGCGGAGAGCCCGGCCGCAAAGCCGGAGACGCGGGAUGGAUACCCGCCGGACGCA
rnacentral:tRNA from 1 species